AUGCUAGAGUUUGGUCAUAUCACUGCUGCAUACCUUUUCCAUCAACUGCAAGGUGAAAUGCACAAACUUUUGGUAAAUCUAGAAUGUUCUCUGCAAAAAGAUGGGUAUUCAAGCCUGAAAAUCAUUUUCUUUGCAGGAACCUGCACUUCACAAAACCCGGAAACAUACACUCUUGGGAACCCCAUUUUGCCAUCCAGCCUGGCAGCCUACAGCACGCCAACACAGAGGAGCACUGCGGGCACCAGAAACACUGCGGGCACCACGUAUACCACAGGCACCAAGUACACCGCGGGCACCACGGGCACCCAGCUGCCCACUGCCCCCCCUGGCACUUCGGUGACCUCCCGCAGCAGCAUCUAUCACAAGAGCUCAUCGGGUGAAUCACACCUGCUCCCAGUUGUGCUGUCGGCUCUGCUUUUGCUGAUUUUCAUCACUAUCGCUAUUCUCGUCCUUGCCAAAAUAAAGCUUCAAAAGGAGACUGGACAAGAAAGAAGCAUCCUGGGACAUGCAGAAGCUGUGCUGGUUCAGGCUGGUCUAAACCCCGCAAAAAAGCAAAUGGAGGAAACCGGGAGCCCAGCUGAAGCGAACGGAUGCAAGACAGACUCGAGCAAAUGUCGGAUAAUCUAUGCUAUCCUUGGAAGGUUCAGGAGGACCAACUUAUGCGGAUCCUGUGAGGAAAAGAACACUUUUCAGCACAAUUGAUCAAGACUUGAGGAAAAUAAGGCAGAACUCCCAGCUGUCAAACCACUCCAUACAUAAGACCAGAGCUUCUUUAUCAAAAGCUGAGGCAUCGCGAUAAACCCCAAAGCACACAGCACCAUAUUUUCCUUGCUCCCCACUCUGAAGCUGAGUAUCCCAUGCAGCAGGUCCAAAUCUGAAUCACUGCAGGCUGCCCAAACGUCACUUGUUUGUGGUUUGUAGAGAAUUAAACAAGGCAUCUGACCAAGCUACUCCUGUGUGCAGCCCUUAAUGCCUCUUGUAGCAGCUGAGCUUCCUGAUGGGAAGGAAGCUCAGACCAAACCAGUAGUUUUGGUGUGCAUGUUCAGAUUACAUCCCAUGCUGUACACUGCGCUUUGGCUCCUCCAAAAAAGCAAGGUAGGGGUUGUUUGUUCUCUGGAGAAGCCAAAGUGCUUUGGAACCUGUGACUUGGCAGAAGGACAUUUCCUUGUCUGUUAAAGCAAGUAAAUAUAUUUGCGUAAUUCCAUCUUGUUUGGAGACAAUAGAUCAGUUUUACCAGAAACUUCAAGGGCGAAGACAGUGCCUUGCCUAAAGAAACUGUUAAUCCCCACCUGGGACUACCUCUUCUUGCCCGAGAUUCACAAGUGGCUGCAGGUCCCCAUGGGCUGGUUUCUGCCAGGGCUUCUUCCUCUGCCUGCGGCCACACCACCUUCCUUGGUGCUUCUGCACAUCUCGGGGCAACCUGCAGGGCCAGAGCAGCCGGGUGGGGAACCCCCUGGCAUCCAAAAGGGAAAGGUGCCCACAGGAAUGGGAGCUGUAGGAAAGGCAAACACACCUGUGUUUAUCAUGGCCAGUUGCAACUCCAUGCCCAGGAACUCAAACCAGCCAUGCCAGCCGCGGCCAGCGGAGCAGUGGUGGGAAGGACACGGCUUGCAAAGGGACGGGUGUUACUCCUGCCGGGGAGAGUGACCACGGCUGGACCCGACCCCAGACCCCGCAGCGCACCCUGUGUGGGUUCAGGGCACGGCCGCGCUCACCACGGCAGCUCCUGCCCUGCCGCAAUGGCUGAGCCUUCCUGCGGAGGAGCUCAGGCACCCUCGGUGAGAGGAAAGGUGCUUCCAGAUGGCUGUAGGGUCUGACAAGCUGUAGGAUGUCCCAGCCCCAGGUCAGGAUCCCACCUGCUCUCAGCUAGGGCAGGAUUGCCCAGAGGUGCCGUCCUGCUUAAACUCCUCAGCUUUCCCUAUGAGUAGAGGAGAAAAGCUUCAUGUGACCCCCCAAGUUAAAUGAAAUUACUGCUUGUGAAUCAUUAGUACAAGGUAAAGCAGGUUAACGAUUCAUCCUACA
rnacentral:lncRNA from 1 species